UGGGGAAUAUUGGACAAUGGGCGAAAGCCUGAUCCAGCAAUGCCGCGUGUGUGAAGAAGGCCUUCGGGUUGUAAAGCACUUUCAAUAGGGAAGAAAUACUCAAUGCUAAUACCAUUGAGGGCUGACAUUACCUAUAGAAGAAGCACCGGCUAACUCUGUGCCAGCAGCCGCGGUAAUACAGAGGGUGCAAGCGUUAAUCGGAAUUACUGGGCGUAAAGAGCACGUAGGCGGAAUAUUAAGUCGGAUGUGAAAUCCCUGGGCUCAACCUAGGAAUUGCAUUCGAAACUGAUAUUCUAGAGUAUGGUAGAGGAAAGUGGAAUUCCCGGUGUAGCGGUGAAAUGCGUAGAUAUCGGGAAGAACAUCAGUGGCGAAGGCGGCUUUCUGGACCAAUACUGACGCUGAGGUGCGAAAGCGUGGGGAGCAAACAGG
rnacentral:rRNA from 1 species